ACGGGUGAUUAAUGCUGGGAAACUGCCCCAUGGAGGGGGAUAACUACUGGAAACGGUACCUAAUACCGCAAACGUCUUCGGACCAAAGUGGGGGACCUUCUGGCCUCACACCAUCGUGAUGUGCCCAGAUGGGAUUAGCUGGUAGGUGAGGUAACGGCUCACCUUGAUCACCAUCCCUAGUUGGUCUGAGAGGAUGACCCUCCACACUGGAACUGAAACACGGUCCAUACUCCUACGGGAGGCAGCAGUGGGGAAUAUUGCACAAUGGGCGCAAGCCUGAUGCAGCCAUGCCGCGUGUAUGAUCAAGGCCUUCGGGUUGUAAGGUACUUUCAGCGGGGAGGAAGGCGAUGCGGUUAAUAACCGCGUCGAUUGACGUUACCCUAGAAGAAGCACCGGCUAACUCCGUGCCAGGGCCCGCGGUAAUACUGAUGGUGCAAGCGUUAAUCCCAAUUACUGGGCGUAAAGCGCACCCUCGCGGUCUGUCCACUCGGAUGUGAAAUCCGCUGGCUUAACCUGGAAACUGCAUUCGAAACUGGCAGGCUUGAGUCUCA
rnacentral:rRNA from 1 species